GGGGGGGGGGGGGGGGGGGGGGGGGGGGGGGGGGGCGGGGGGGGGCGGGGGGUGCGGGGGGGGGGGGAGUGGGGGAGGGGGGAGUAAGAGAUCGGAGCGUGCCCCGGGGUGGGGGGUAGGGCGGCGAAAGCCGGGUUGAUACCGCAGCCGACCUGAGGGUGAAAGCGGGGGAUCUUCGGACCUCGCGCUAUGGGAGCGGCCGAUGGCAGAUUAGCUAGUUGGUGGGGUAAAGGCCUACCAAGGCGACGAUCUGUAGCUGGUCUGAGAGGACGACCAGCCACACUGGGACUGAGACACGGCCCAGACUCCUACGGGAGGCAGCAGUGGGGAAUUUUGGACAAUGGGCGAAAGCCUGAUCCAGCAAUGCCGCGUGCGUGAUGAAGGCCUUCGGGUUGUAAAGCACUUUUGGCGGGAACGAAAAGGACUGUGCCAAUACCACGGUUCGAUGACGGUACCCGCAGAAUAAGCACCGGCUAACUACGUG
rnacentral:rRNA from 1 species